CAGCAGCCGCGGGAAUACGUAGGUCCCGAGCGUUGUCCGGAUUUAUUGGGCGUAAAGCGAGCGCAGGCGGUUAGAUAAGUCUGAAGUUAAAGGCUGUGGCUUAACCAUAGUACGCUUUGGAAACUGUUUAACUUGAGUGCAAGAGGGGAGAGUGAAUUCCAUGUGUAGCGGUGAAAUGCGUAGAUAUAUGGAGGAACACCGGUGGCGAAAGCGGCUCUCUGGCUUGUAACUGACGCUGAGGCUCGAAAGCGUGGGGAGCAAACAGGAUUAGAUACCCGAGUGUCCAUGUCUCUUAUACACA
rnacentral:rRNA from 1 species